AAAAAGACAAACCCUGAGUUUCCGCGUCUAACGUUUGACUGUCCGUCUUAUAUGAAAUUUUUUUAUAAUUAGUAUUUUCAUUGUUGUUAGAUUAUAAAACAUGAUUAAUAAUUUAUGCGUGACUUGUAUUUUUAAUUUUUUUUCAUAUUUUUUUUAAAUAAGACGGACGGUUAAACGUUGGACACGGAAACCCAGGGUUUGUCUUUUU
rfam:Oryza glumipatula chromosome 8, whole genome shotgun sequence.